UACGUAGGGGGCAAGCGUUGUCCGGAAUCAUUGGGCGUAAAGAGCGUGUAGGCGGCUUGGUAAGUCCGCUGUGAAAGUCCAGGGCUCAACCCUGGAAAGCCGGUGGAAACUGUCAAGCUUGAGUCCGGAAGAGGCGAGUGGAAUUCCUGGUGUAGCGGUGAAAUGCGCAGAUAUCGGGAAGAACACCUAUGGCGAAGGCAGCUCUCUGGGACGGUACUGACGCUGAGACGCGAAAGCGUGGGGAGCGAACAGG
rnacentral:rRNA from 1 species